rnacentral:lncRNA from 1 species
AGAGAGAGACAGAGAGAGAGAGAGAGAGAGAGAGAAUAAAAAAGAAAUAUAAAGGCAUCCAUCGUUCCCCCCACAGAGAAGCUUCGAGCCAUGCCUCCGAAUCCUUGUUCUGGCAAGGUGUGCCCACCCAAAGCCUGGCUGACGGAUGAACGCGAGGAGUUCUUGGUCGCCACCGUAAAGGGACUCACCAACACCCUUCUUCGCCGCCAAGCCACACGCCUUCCGGCUCAACCUGACAACAGCAGCAAAGCAACACUGCCAUCGCUCUUCACGGUUGUGGUUCUUCUUCUGCUAGGACGGUUCUACCAGUAGUUCGCAGGCAUAGAGCCCCGACACCUGCGAGUUCCUUGUAGUCUCUUGUCUUAGGCUGAUUGUCAUGCAGUCGACAAGGUUGGAGGUUUGUAUGGGACUGCACAUGGUCAAGUCAUCAGUCAUGCAAUAUCAAUUGUUGUUUCUUUGGAUUAUGAGAACAACGCUAUUUCGUUAUAGUGUUACCGCUCUCAUGGCAAUUUUUUUUCUGGAUAGUUAUAGAAUAUACUCUGUGUAGUAGGUGUAUAAUUGUAAUUAUAAAUCAGGGUACAGACCAUAACUGAUUACUGUAAAUAUCAAAAACAACUGAAACAUGAUACAUGUGGUGAUGAUAACAAACAAGGGAAUGUAGAAUCUAAGUUGCUUAUCUUAUUCGCUCAUAAUUCUCUUAGUAUGUGGGAACAUCUAUUCAGAUUCCUGCUGGCCAAAACAAUUCAUCAGAGAAUCAUCAACUAUUGGAUUUUAAUAGAUGAUUGCUUUUCUUUCAAGCAUACUUGCUGUACACAAUAAACAAACUGUUUGAGUA